rnacentral:rRNA from 1 species
GGAUUGUAACCUCUUUUAUCAGGGAAGAAGUUCUGACGGUACCUGAUGAAUAAGCAUCGGCUAACUCCGUGCCAGCAGCCGCGGUAAUACGGAGGAUGCAAGCGUUAUCCGGAAUUAUUGGGCGUAAAGCGUCCGUAGGUGGUUUUGCAAGUCUGCUGUUAAAGAAUGGAGCUUAACUCCAUAGAAGCGGUGGAAACUGCAAGACUAGAGUACAGUAGGGGUAGCAGGAAUUCCCAGUGUAGCGGUGAAAUGCGUAGAUAUUGGGAAGAACAUCGGUGGCGAAAGCGUGCUACUGGGCUGAAACUGACACUGAGGGACGAAAGCUAGGGUAGCGAAAGGGAUUAGAUACCCCCAGUAGUC